rnacentral:lncRNA from 1 species
GACCCAACUGCUCUUCAAUUUUGUCCCCCCCCCCACACCCCCCCAAUCCAUUUCUUAUCAGGAACACCAAGCUAUUCACAGUGAGCACUCCUCCAGCUCUGACAGUGUGGAUGACAGCACCAUAGAGAGACAUGUAAGACGUCUAUUUGGUAUACUGAUGCUGAUGCUGAUGCCAGCUGCGAGGUGAAAAGCCAGCCAACGGAGGCACCGAAGAAAGGGACUAUGACUUUGAGAAUAAGGAGGAUUCUGCCCACUGCAUUAUUUGGAUUUGGAACAAAGGACUCAUCAUCUGACACUCAAGCACUGCCCCAGGAAGUAGUGGAAGUUCAGACACUAGAGAUGGCUGAAGUACCAGUGCCCAGUGAAGGAACUGUCCUGGACCCUCUAGAAGUAAGCUUAUUUUUAUUUAUUUUAUGUCUUAAUGAUGUUGAUAGGUUUUCAAUGUAGUGAGUCCGCGGGACCCACAGGUGGUCAUUUAAAUGAGUCCUAGGGAAACUGAAACAGUCCUUAACUAACUUUUUUUUAACAUCCUCCUAGAUAUAUAAGCCCUCCUAUAAUGAAUGUGGACCAUUCACAUUUUAAAUCUUUGUUUUUCUACAUGAUCAAAAAACGUUAAAAUUAUUCGAACUGAUCUUUAAUAUAAAUGAAACAUUAUCCAAAUUGGAAGAAUUGCUGCUACCAUAAGCCACACGUGUUGCUCAGUGCCCUUUAUCCACCACUUUUUUUCCAUCAUAUCAGGUAACACUAAAUCCGUAAUGUUCUCAUACAGCAGACAGAGACCGACUGACAGCUGCACACAGCACUUUGUCCGUGCCAGCCAACUGCGGUUUCACCAGGGCGCAAGGCUCCCCCCCCGCCCCCACCCCCAAAUAACUACGUUUUAUUUCUACACAAGCCAUUUUGACUGAAAUCUGUG